CAGUUUUACUUCCUGUUCUUUGGUUAAUGUUCUUUCUCAAACCGAAAAUGGGGUUGUGGUUAAUAGUCAGACGUAAUUCAUCACCAUGGCAACCAGAUUUCAUCGUUUUUUUCAACCUAGUUUUGAUGAAUUUACUAUUUAUCAGACCACAAGAG